AAUAUACAAAUCCAAAUAUGCCAAUACUACUGUACAUACGUGCUUAAGUAUGUUGUUAGUAGUAAAUUGUGGAAUGGUCUGGAUGGUAUUUAUCCUUCUUCAUACUGAAAUUUACUAUUUUUAUAACUAGAAGUGUUCCCUUACUAACUAGCGAUGGUUCUUGGCAUACACUGAGUGAUUGAGGAUAUAAUACGAAGUGGAGUUGUUAUGUAGUUCCACCUUGAAACUAUGGCACUUAUCACCAUCUAGAACAAAAUGUGGAAAAUCCCCACUUCCACUGUCCUCUCCAAAGUGUCUGAGGCCUCAGCUAGAAAGUUUUGAAGACUGUGAAGGAAUCUAUUACUGAGAACUGCAAUCAGCCAAAGCCUCGUUCACUCACCUGUCUGAUGGUUAAUGCUGGGUGUCAGCUGGGACCUCAGCUGGGGCUGUCAUUGAGAACACCUACUUGGGUCUUUCCAUAUGUCUUUUUGGGCUUCCUCAUACCAUGAUGGCUGGGUUCCAGAAGAGUGGCCCAAGAGAACCAGGUAAGAGCUAUAUCACAUUUUGUGACCUAGUUUUAGAAGUCACAGCCUGCUGUAAUCACAA